rnacentral:rRNA from 1 species
CCUACGGGUGGCUGCAGUGAGGAAUAUUGCGCAAUGCCCGCAAGGGUGACCCAGCAACGCCGCGUGGAGGAUGAAGGCCGUAAGGUUGUAAACUCCUGUUAGAGGAGAAGAAUAGUACCGAUUGGAUCGGUAUUUGACUGUACCCUCAGAGACAGCCCCGGCUAACUACGUGCCAGCAGCCGCGGUAAUACGUAGGGGGCAAGCGUUGUCCGGUUUUACUGGGUGUAAAGGGCGCUCACACGGCAGAGCAGAAAUCCUACAGCUUAACUGUAGAACUGCCUUUGAUACUGUUAUACUUGAGUUCGGGAGGGGGAGACGGAAUUCCAGGUGUAGUGGUGAAAUACGUAGAUAUCUGGAAGAACACCAGUUGCGAAGGCGGUCUCUUGGUCCGAUACUGACGCUGAGGCGCGAAAGCGUGGGGAGCAAACAGGAUUAGAUACCCUAGUAGUC